rnacentral:rRNA from 1 species
AACGAACGCUGGCGGUGCGCCUAACACAUGCAAGUCGAGCGGAAGUAAUUCAGCGGCGGACGGGUGAGUAACGCGUGGGAAUCUGCCCUUUAGUGAAGAAUACCCUCGAGAAAUCGGGGCUAAUACUGCAUAAGUUCCUUGAAAAAGGAAGAAAGAUGGCCUCUUUGCUGUCGCUAAAGGAUGAGCCUGCGUACUAUUAGCUAGUUGGUAGGGUAAUGGCCUACCAAGGCGAUGAUGGUUAGCCGGCCUGAGAGGGGUGAACGGCCACAUUGGAACUGAGAAACGGUCCAGACUCCUACGGGAGGCAGCAGUGAGGAAUAUUGCGCAAUGGGGCGAAAGCCUGACGCAGCGACACCGCGUGAAGGAUGAAGGCUUUAGGGUUGUAAACUUCUGUUAAGUGGGAAGGAAAAAGGACGGUCCUAAUACGACCGCAAACUGACGGUACCACUAGAGAAAGCACCGGCUAACUUCGUGCCAGCAGCCGCAGU